UACAGAGGUCUCAAGCGUUGUUCGGAUUCAUUGGGCGUAAAGGGUGUGUAGGUGGCGCCGUAAGUCGGGUGUGAAAUUUCGGAGCUUAACUCCGAAACUGCAUUCGAUACUGGCGUGCUUGAGGACUGGAGAGGAGACUGGAAUUCAUGGUGUAGCAGUGAAAUGCGUAGAGAUCAUGAGGAAGACCAGUGGCGAAGGCGGGUCUCUGGACAGUUCCUGACGCUGAGGCACGAAGGCCAGGGGAGCAAACGGG
rnacentral:rRNA from 1 species